AAAAAAAUCUAAUGGUUCUAGCCAGUAAAAUGGUUAUAACCUAUUUAACCCUUUGUGAACCAAAAACCUUUUCGCUUCGGUAGCAGGUUCAGUUCAUUCUGUACUGUAAGCCUACCGGUAGCACCAAAUUUAAAACCUGUCUUUUGAACAUUGUCUGAAUAACCAAAUUUUCGAAUGAAAAUUA
rnacentral:misc_RNA from 1 species